GACGAACGCUGGCGGCGUGCUUAACACAUGCAAGUCGAGCGGAGCGGCGAACGGGUGAGUAACGCGUGAGUAACUGCCCCCCUCUCUGGGAUAACAGUUGGAAACGGCUGCUAAUACCGGAUAGUGGGGGAUGACUCGCGCCCUAUCAGCUUGUUGGUGGGGUAGUGGCCUCCCAAGGCGACGACGGGUAGCCGGCCUGGGAGGGCGACCGGCCACAUUGGGCUGGGAUCCGGACCAAACUCCUACGGGAGUCAGCGUGUGGAAUUAUUGCACAAUGGGGGAAACCCUGAUGCAGCAACGCGCGGGCGGGAUGACGGCCUUCGGGUUGUAAACCGCUUUCAGCCAUGACGCGGUAGUGGCAGAAGAAGCACCGGCUAACUACGUGCCAGCAGCCGCGGUAAUUC
rnacentral:rRNA from 1 species